rnacentral:rRNA from 1 species
GCGAGAAACCUUUGCAAUGUGCGAAAGCACGACAAGGUUAAUCCGAGUGUCUCCCGCUAAGGGAGUCUUUUGUCAGUUCUAGAACCACUGGUGAAUAAGGGGUGGGCAAGUUCUGGUGUCAGCCGCCGCGGUAAAACCAGCACCUCGAGUGGUCAGGAGGUUUAUUGGGCCUAAAGCAUCCGUAGCCGGUUGCAUAAGUUUUCGGUUAAAUCUAUGCGCUUAACGUAUAGGCCGCCGAAAAUACUGUGCAGCUAGGGAGUGGGAGAGGUACACGGUACUCGAUAGGAAGGGGUAAAAUCCUUUGAUCUAUUGAUGACCACCUGUGGCGAAGGCGGUGUACCAGAACACGUUCGACGGUGAGGGAUGAAAGCUGGGGGAGCAAACCGG